ACGGGGGCCCGCACAAGCGGUGGAGCAUGUGGUUUAAUUCGAAGCAACGCGAAGAACCUUACCAGGCCUUGACAUGCAGAGAACUUUCCAGAGAUGGAUUGGUGCCUUCGGGAACUCUGACACAGGUGCUGCAUCGGCUGUCGUCAGCUCGUGUCGUGAGAUGGUUGGGUUAAGUCCCGUAACGAGCGCAACCCUUGUCCUUAGUUACCAGCACGUUAUGGUGGGCACUCUAAGGAGACUGCCGGUGACAAACCGGAGGAAGGUGGGGAUGACGUCAAGUCAUCAUGGCCUUUAUGACCAGGGCUACACACGUACUACAAUGGCCGAUACAAAGGGCAGCGACACUGCGAGGUGAAGCCAAUCCCGUAAAAUCGGUCUCAGUCCGGAUUGGAGUCUGCAACUCGACUCCAUGAAGUUGGAAUCGCUAGUAAUCGUGGAUCAGCAUGCCACGGUGAAUACGUUCCCGGGCCUU
rnacentral:rRNA from 1 species